ACCUUCUGUGGUGCAGUUGAUAGCGCCUUGGGUUAGCAUUUACAAGUCCCAGGUUCAAUUCCUGGUCGGGGUA